rnacentral:sRNA from 1 species
GAGGAAAAGAAACCAACAGGGAUUGCCCUAGUAACGGCGAGUGAAGCGGCAACAGCUUCAAAUUUGAAAUCUGGCGUCUUUGGCGUCCGAGUUGUAAUUUGCAGAGGGCGCUUUGGCAUUGGCAGCGGUCCAAGUUCCUUGGAACAGGACGUCACAGAGGGUGAGAAUCCCGUACGUGGUCGCUAGCCUUUACCGUGUAAAGCCCCUUCGACGAGUCGAGUUGUUUGGGAAUGCAGCUCUAAAUGGGAGGUAAAUUUCUUCUAAAGCUAAAUACUGGCCAGAGACCGAUAGCGCACAAGUAGAGUGAUCGAAAGAUGAAAAGCACUUUGGAAAGAGAGUUAAAAAGCACGUGAAAUUGUUGAAAGGGAAGCGCUUGCAGCCAGACUUGCCUGUAGUUGCUCAUCCGGGUUUCUACCCGGUGCACUCUUCUAUAGGCAGGCCAGCAUCAGUUUGGGCGGUUGGAUAAAGGUCUCUGUCAUGUACCUCUCUUCGGGGAGAACUUAUAGGGGAGACGACAUGCAACCAGCCUGGACUGAGGUCCGCGCAUCUGCUAGGAUGCUGGCGUAAUGGCUGUAAGCGGCCCGUCUUGAAACACGGACCAAGGAGUCUAACAUCUAUGCGAGUGUUUGGGUGUCAAGCCCGAGCGCGUAAUGAAAGUGAACGGAGGUGGGAACCUUUCGGGGUGCACCAUCGACCGAUCCUGAUGUCUUCGGAUGGAUUUGAGUAAGAGCAUAGCUGUUGGGACCCGAAAGAUGGUGAACUAUGCUUGAAUAGGGUGAAGCCAGAGGAAACUCUGGUGGAGGCUCGCAGCGGUUCUGACGUGCAAAUCGAUCGUCAAAUUUGGGCAUAGGGGCGAAAGACUAAUCGAACUAUCUAGUAGCUGGGUUC